UACAGAGGUAGCUAACGUUGUCCGGAUUCACUGGGCAUAAAGGGAUCGUAGGUGGCCUGAUAAGUCAGAUGUGAAAUCUUCUCGCUUAACGGGAAAAUUGCAUUUGAUACUGUCUGGCUUGAGUGCGAGAGGAGAAAAUGGAAUUUCCGGUGUAGCGGUAAAAUGCGUAGAUAUCGGAAAGAACACCAGUGGCGAAGGCGGUUUUCUAUUUCGCAACUGACACUGAGGAUCGAAAGCCAGGGGAGCAAACGGG
rnacentral:rRNA from 1 species